rnacentral:rRNA from 1 species
AGCAGUCGCCGCGGUAAUACGUAGGUGGCAAGCGUUGUCCGGAAUUAUUGGGCGUAAAGGGCUCGCAGGCGGUUUCUUAAGUCUGAUGUGAAAGCCCCCGGCUCAACCGGGGAGGGUCACUGGAAACUGGGAAACUUGAGUGCAAAAGAGGAGAGUGGAAUUCCACGUGUAGCGGUGAAAUGCGUAGAGAUGUGGAGGAACACCAGUGGCGAAGGCGACUCUCUGGUCUGUAACUGACGCUGAGGAGCGAAAGCGUGGGGAGCGAACAGGAUUAGAUACCCCCGUAGUCCCUGUCUCUUAUAC